ACUAGGCUGAAAUCCCAGGAGUCCUGCAGCGCCCCAGCGUGCUUUCCUCUUGUGCACCUUCCAGCUCAGCUCUCUCUUGGCUUGCUUCCAGAUCCCCAGGGAGAUUUAGCAAGUCCUCAGAGGAUACAGCCUCGUCGUUACCGGCACAAAUCACCCAGCUAGUAACUGAACAGCCAGGAAUCACUGUCAGUCAGGUGGCAGAAGCGUGGUAAGUGUGAGUUUCCAGCCUCUGGCAGCUCAGAACUGUUUGUUUCAACAACUCUCCCAUGGGAGGGCAUCUGAGGAACACGCACAGGGCUCCUGCUCCCAGUUUCCCUUGCACACCAGAUUAGGAAUCCUCCCACCCAUGCCUGCCAGAGCCAGGAGGUCGUAGGGCAGCCUGAUUUUUAUCCAGAGAGCUCGUGGCAUUGCUUGUGUGAGCCAAACCCUGGGGUCAGAAGGACAGAAAAGAAUGAAGGAAAGAGUUACCGCUGCUUUUGCCUCGGCAGCUUUGGCUUUCUUCAGCCUGGCUUUGCAGGCAUCCAGAUCCAGGCGGCAGUUCUGCAGGAUCCUCCGUUCUUUCUGGAAGAGACAGAAAAUGGGGGGGCUCAGAGACCUCGCUCGCCCACGCCGUGUCGCUGGGAACCUGCCCUCAGGUGCUGGGAUGAGCAGAGCCACGGCUCCCAGGAGCAGCUUCCAGCAGGGUUAGAUGAAGCUUCUCAUGAACACGCAGCCAGCCGAGGGGAUUAGAGGUAAGUUACACUGCCUGAUCCUACGAGCUGCUGCCAGUGGAGGUCUGAGAUCUCAGGUGGCAACAGGUCUCAGCUGAUCCUCGGAGCUGGUUGCCCAAGUCCACGUCCCCAGGGGAGAGCAGGGUGGAAGAACAGCUUGUGAUGAAGUCUGCCUGCUCGAGCAGAACCCACCCUGUUCCAUCUCUCCGCACUUAGAGGAUUUCUGUUGCUAGGAAUUUGUUUUCAUAACACUUUCAGAGAUUUGAUUGCAUUUUUGCUUCCCACUGGACAGAAAUAAGCUCCCCUGUGAGGCUGGGAGAUGCAGGGGAACAGCCAGGCUCGCCGUGCAGUCCCUCCUCCUGACUGUAGAAAGCCAGAUUAAAAAUAUUUUGUCUUGCUGCUCCCAGACCCGAAGCACUGAUGGUUCUUACAGCUCCAAAUACCCCAAACCCUACAAGUGGGAGCCUUGUUUGCUCAGUACCAGGCUGACUGCAUGGCUUGGUGCAUACCCACCCAGGAGAGUCAGGGCAGGCAGAGCCUGUGCGAGCACAGUGCCAGGGGAGAACCUCGAGCUCCUCGAUCCUGCUGCCACAAAACUCCUCUGGUUCCACAGGAGCAGCUCAGGGAGGCUGGGUCAGGGUGUGGAGAGGCUGCUGCUGGUCCCUGAAGCUGACCCAGUUGAGCAGCAGCCCUGGUUUUGUGCAGGGAGGCUGAAGGAGCGAUUAAUAAUGCAGGGCAGCCUUUAGCUGAGUGCCACUCGCACUCUCCAGGAAGAGGAGAGUCACGCUGCGUUCCAGGGCAUCAAUAAUUCAGCCAAAGGUUGGGUUUCCUCCGGGAGGCUUGGCUGGCCAGCAGGAAUGCUGGAGGCGUUCUCAGGGACCGAGGGGACAGGCAGGCUGAUGGAGCAGGAGAGCAACACUCGGGCAACAGGCACGGAUUGCAAAAGCCACAGCCGUGCCGGAUUGCAGUCAGGGCAGCUGCCAGCAGUUACAGCUUGGGGGAAAGCUGCUCUUUCCCCACAUGAGUUGGUAAAGGCACAGCUGGGAUGCCAGGAGGGUGAGAGAGCAGAGCAGAGCUGGAUGCGUCCCUCUGCACUACAGCUCUGAUAUCAGAAAACCUGAGGCCGCCAAGGUUAGGGCUGAAGAUCCCACACGCGUUGUUUUUGUUGCUGGAAGCGUUGGUGCCUUCCUCCCUCUAAGCCAAGGGGAUGAAAUCCCACUGCUUCCACGCCUGUUUCACGCAGAGCAGCCUCCCUGCCUUGUCUCUUCCAGGCUUGUGUGAUCCUUCCACGCCUCUCCCCUUCAGCAGGCCCAGGCUGGGAGACCCGAAACCGGGAGAUGUCUGCUGCCUCUGCCACUAGAUUGGGGCUGCUGGAGCCUCCUAACAGCUCCCUCGCGCCCAGGCUGUUGGAACAUCGCUCGUUUGGUGCUCAGAGGCAGAUUCAGCCCCUGUACAGGGCUGCAGUAGGAAAGAAGCCACUGCCACUUAGUCAGCAUCUAAAAACUACCUGGAUCUCUGCUGCCUUGGAACAGACACAGGGUGUGCUUCAAGGGUUUGGUCACCGGGAGUCAGGGCAGCCAGGCUGCGAGCCAAGCAGAACUGUGUUAGAGGACAGGAGGAAGCCAUUAGCAGGACAGCUUUGUUAACUCAGGAGCAAAGCAUUUAGGAAAAUAAAAAAAUCUUGCCCUUGUGGAUUCAUAGACAGUGUUUCAAACGGAAACAGGACCCGGCCUGUACCUCUUGACUUCAAAACCCUUCCUUUCAGUCACCUCCCGGGGUCUUGAAUUUGAAGGUGUCCAGUAGGCAAGGCGUUAACCCCGGCACGGGCAGCGAGCAGAGGGGACAGGUCUCUUUCAUCACCAGAUUUGGAGAGCUGGGGAAGGCUGCCUUGCCUCAGGAGCUUCAGGCCAGAACAAGUCAACCUCCAGCUGCCAGCGGUAACUGCAUUAGCAGGGGGACACGCACCCAAAAGCUCUACUGGUGCUCGGGCAAUUUUGCCUGGAGCAAGUUUCCAUCAGAAGUGACAGGAGACAGAAACCCACAGUGAUUGCCAGACCUCCCUGAGAGAGCCUGGCUGCAACAGAUGCACCCGGACCGUUACUUUGGAGGAAGAGACGCCGGUUCCUGGAGGGAGGCUGCAGCUGCCAUCGUCGCCUUCUCUCCAGAGGUUUGGGAUUGAGGGAUCGAGCCCGCUUACUGGUAGCUGGAAGGAGCAGGUGACCAGAGGUUGUGUUCUCCUGCUGCCUGAGCUACAAAAAGCCACGUAAAGGUGGUGAUGGUUUGAGUUUUGUCAUGAGCCAGGUUAAACCUAGGCCUAAAAUCCUUCCUGCUCUUCACCUCAGGCUGUACUCGACAGGCUUCAAACCAGGACAGCUCUGGGACCUCUGGGAGGCGACCCCAGGGGGGUGUCUGACCACCUUCUGCCUCCUUUCCCCUGACCUGAGCAGUGCUACAGCCACAGCCCUUCCUGCAGUGCCAGCCAGCUCUCCUUGUGUUGGCCAGACGUCUCCACCAGACAGCAACAGCUAAUGCUGUCUGAGCAGCACCGCACAUAAUGGCCAGUCCAUUUAUCUCCCGCUCGCCGCAGUUCCCGUAAAGCAUCGCUCUGUGAAAUGCCUGGAGCUGAGGAAGAGCAUCCCCGGCACUACAGACAACGCAGCUCGUUCCAGCCAGGCCAUUCUCCUCCCCUGGAAGAUCUGCUGGGCAAGGAGAACGCUACAAACCCGAUCCCUGCAGGCCUCAGCUGUCACCUCUGGCUCCUGGAGGUGGUGACGGGGCGAUGCUCGCCCCUGCUGGGUGAGGGCUGUGUGGGACGGCCCCAAACAGGCCCCACUUCUGCUCAGGAUUACAUCUCAAGAGGUGGGGCUCUGCCUCAGCGAGGUGCAUCUCCCCCCUUGACCAUUUUGUUUCGAGUAAUUACUACCUUAAUUAGUCACACGAAUCGUCGCGUCCAAGAUGAUGUGGAGUAGGUGUAGCAGGCAGAAGCCGCUAUUUAUAAACGCCUCCUUGCUCUAGAAGCGGCGUGCAGACGCUGUUCCCAUGCCUGUCUCCUUCCUACGCCUUGAAGCUCAGAAACACUUAUCAGAGUCGUACAAUGAGCCUUCCAAACACACGAUUUCUGUGCAGCAUUUCUGCCUUUCUUCUGCCACCAAGGUCAUUUGCAUGAGAACAGCAUCUUUAAGCCUUCCAUCUGCUCCUGAUUUUGCACCUGUAGUUAAUAUGUCUCUGUUCCUAACACAUGACUCACCGGCACGAUUACAGGAGAUGCGAUCUGUUUACAGGAGAGCGAUUCCUAAACGAGCCAGGAUUACUCCGUGGCACAGACGGGUUGGACUGAGGCAGCGCUGCUUUGUUUUUGUCAACCCCCACACCUCGGGUAGAAGAGGAUCCCGGUCCUGAAGCCACCAGCUGGACUGGAGCUCUCAGGCAGGAUCCCAACCACCUCCGAUUUGCUUCCCUUCUCCUCCCCUGCCUGGCCAGGAGCAGUUUUCCUUCCUAGCUCUUACGCCUGGGGAGCGGACGGAGCCGGCAGCCACAUCUCAGCACCUGCUGCACGCUUCGUUCCUCACGGGUAGCCAAGUUUCUUCAGUCUACGGUUUCAGGACAGCACUGCAGCCCCAGCAAGGUGCUGCCAGCAGGCUAGGGAAGGAUGAUUUGAUGCCGCUGUACUCCAGCGAGGUGCUACCUGCUCAGCCUCAGCGGCUCCUUCCCACCUCUAACAGCGCUGUGUUUUGGGGGGGGUCCUGGAGCUCCUGCACGACUGAAAGGCGACCCGUGAAAGGCUUCUACCACAUCUGCCUACCGAAAAGGAACAGGUCCUCAACAGGGCUGGCCGCUUGCCCAGCCAGUUAGCUGAGCAGCUAUUUGCAAUACAUCUGUACUUUAAAUAACGACCACCACAACGCAAGCCCUA